UGUUUUUCUCCACCAUCAUCAGUUUGUAUGUAUGGUUGUUUCACACAACCAUACAUACAAACUGAUGAUGGUGGAGAAAAACA
rfam:Dendroctonus ponderosae Seq01003655, whole genome shotgun sequence.